GUCCUGUGCAUAGUUAUGUUGGUAGAGCAUGAGACUCUUAAUCUCAGGAUUGUGGCAGGUUCAAGUCCCACACCGGGCA